AGUGAACGCUGGCGGUAGGCCUAACACAUGCAAGUCGAACGGCAGCACAGGAGAGCUUGCUCUCUGGGUGGCGAGUGGCGGACGGGUGAGGAAUACAUCGGAAUCUACUUUUUCGUGGGGGAUAACGUAGGGAAACUUACGCUAAUACCGCAUACGACCUACGGGUGAAAGCAGGGGAUCUUCGGACCUUGCGCGAUUGAAUGAGCCGAUGUCGGAUUAGCUAGUUGGCGGGGUAAAGGCCCACCAAGGCGACGAUCCGUAGCUGGUCUGAGAGGAUGAUCAGCCACACGGGAACUGAGACACGGUCCAGACUCCUGCGGGAGGCAGCAGUGGGGAAUAUUGGACAAUGGUCGCAAGCCUGAUCCAGCCAUACCGCGUGGGUGAAGAAGGCCUUCGGGUUGUAAAGCCCUUUUGUUGGGAAAGAAAUCCAGCUGGUUAAUACCCGGUUGGGAUGACGGUACCCAAAGAAUAAGCACCGGCUAACUUCGUGCCAGCCGCCGCCGUAA
rnacentral:rRNA from 1 species